AUGAAUUGGCUAUAGUGACUGGAGUCCCCUGGCUAAGCAGUGUUUAACCAUUUUCAAGCUGUUUAACACAGAAUAAGGGCCCCCCGCAACUCCCACUGUCCAUACCCCACCUGAGGUUUGGUUUACGCAGAGAUUACACUGUCCUUCAAGCUACACCAAUUCAUGCCAGCAUUUGGCACUGUGAUAGGCUGAAAACUGACACAGCCAAUCAAAAGUACCCAUUGCAACUCAGGCUAAUGCUUCCUCUUUAGACUGAGCAGCACAAAGUUGAUGGGCUGGUAUGGAG